rnacentral:rRNA from 1 species
UACAGAGGGUGCAAGCGUUAAUCGGAAUUACUGGGCGUAAAGCGCGCGUAGGUGGUUUGUUAAGUUGGAUGUGAAAGCCCCGGGCUCAACCUGGGAACUGCAUCCAAAACUGGCAAGCUAGAGUACGGUAGAGGGUGGUGGAAUUUCCUGUGUAGCGGUGAAAUGCGUAGAUAUAGGAAGGAACAUCAGUGGCGAAGGCGACCACCUGGACUGAUACUGACACUGAGGCGCGAAAGCGUGGGGAGCAAACAGG